rnacentral:rRNA from 1 species
UACGGGGGGGGGCAAGCGUUGUUCGGAAUUACUGGGCGUAAAGGGUGCGUAGGCGGUUUGCUAAGUUGGAUGUGAAAACUCUGGGCUUAACCCAGAGCCUGCAUUCAAAAACUGACAAGCUAGAGUUCUGGAGGGGGUAGCGGAAUUCCUGGUGUAGCGGUGAAAUGCGUAGAUAUCAGGAGGAACACCGGUGGCGAAGGCGGCUACCUGGACAGAAAACUGACGCUGAGGCACGAAAAGCUAGGGGGAGCAAACAGG